UCCGUUUAAGGAGGCUGAAAUACCACAGUCUCCAGUCUGCAGAGCAGACAAUGAAAAUUCAAAGGUCAGUUCAGAGAAUGAACAGAUGUACAUUUUGCCCUUUGUGCAAUAAUGCAAAGCUUCUCUGAGCUUCAAGCAGAUUGGUAUUGAUGCAAUGUAAUACUAAGUGUUUGUUUUUCAGAGCAGGGUCAUAAGGACAGAGACGCUGCUUCUUAUCUGGGCCAGUGAACUUAUGUGCAACACAAAACUGUUGUUUAAACGUUACUUUUGUUCCAGGGCUAAUUUGAGCCUUGCCAUCUUAGCCAUGCUCACAACUUGUUUCACUGUGCAGUGCAGACAUGACAAGCUAGAGUUAGAGAAAACACCUGGAUUUCUGCUCAUUGGGUAGAGCUGGCAUGCAUCAGUUGCAUGAUAGUAUCUGCUUAAAAGAAGUCCAGUGGGCAGAAGUAAAACAGGUGUCAUUCCUUUGAGAAAGAAGGAGGUUGUUGGCAGUUGGGCAGUAGGGUACAAAGGUUCUGUUUGGAACCUUGCAAUACUUCCCCUGCUAUGUGGAUUCAGAAUACGCUCCUGGAUGCAGCACUUAACAUUUACAGAAAGGAGAAUGGAAGGAAAGGACAAGAAACUAACAAAAGCCAUCUAAGCAACCUACAUAGUACUGUUGACAGGUAAAUUGCUGGCCACUGAAAAUUAGCUGCUGCUUUUUGGUUUUGUUCCUCAGUCUCACUUCUCUGGAUUCCCGCUACUCCCUGAGAAAAGAUUGGCAUGGCUCAGGCUGAGCCUGCCUUCAACAGAGUCAUUCUCUGCUUCUCAGCACUUGAAAUCAAAAUAGUCUGGCAUGUUAAAUGUGACAAUCCACAGUUUUUGUUUCUGUGAAGUGGGAGGUGUAUUUUCAACAUCAAGCAGGCAUAUUUCAUUGCUAGUGCUCUGAAACUGUAGUUGCUUCAUUUAGUGUAUGGCUGCUACAACAGUGGCUGGAGGCUCUGCUUUCUGAGGAAUACCACGACCAGGGCAAAAGAAUCACAGGAUGCCUGGCAAAGGCAGAGUGGGGGUAGAGCCUAGGGGAAAAUUCUCUGGAAAAAGAGAGAAUCAUAAGCCAUGGCAGGAAGAGCUAGGUAGAUUCCCCAGAUAAUUAAGGAUGUAGAAGUGCUACAGCUACGAGUGAUAUGAGGUCUCAUCUAAUCCAUGUACCUCAGGGUUUGAAUUGAGACCACCGCACUUUGCCAGCUUCUCCCACAUUUGUGUACUGGAAACAGGAGAAAAUCUAGUUACCACGGUCACUUUAUAGAGUAUGUGUCCAUUCACAGUGGCACUUGUGCAGCCUGGAAACCUUUGUCUGUAGGCCUAUAUUUUUCAUGCGCGUGGCUGGUGCUGUUGUAUCACAGGGAGAAGAGCUUCUGUUCUCACACGGGAGGCAGAACCGUGGCUCUGCCAGGUCAGUGGAUUCUCCUUAAGUCAACAAACAGUUGAACAAUUUUUAGCAGAUAUGAUGUCCAGAACACAAUAUGCCCUCUUUGCAUCACUACAAAUAAUAUAAUCAACAAACAAAAAUGAAAAACUCAGAAACCCACAAAACAACCUUGAAUAGAGUAUUUGAUGGAUUCACGGAGGAACAGUUGACAACUAUCUGGAAUUCAGAAGGCUGGGGAGUUAAUUAUGAACAGACACUUGCACAUACGGCAUUAAUCACUGAAAUUAGAACAGAGAGGAUUCUCCUGAAGUCAACAAACAAUGGCAAAUGCCAUAAUAUGGAGAAGCAAUGUCUUAUUUCAGGUCGUGUGAAUCCUUUGUUACAGAUGGUUUCACAACCGUGCCUAUAUUUGUCGCCAUGUAAAGAAGUUUGUUCUUACCUCUAGAGUUCCAUAAAAUUGGACAUACAGAAACUGUGAGGAUGAGACUAGGAACCAUCAGUGUGUUAAAGCAGAAAGGCAGCAUGACUUCUGAGUAACCUGAAACAGAAAAUGCAGCUUGCAGUCCUGUGACUCUUCUUUAUAAGAUUCAUGAUUUUAUGCGAUUAAGAAAUGAAAUGUGACCUGAAUAAGAUGCAGAUAAGUCUGAGUCUCAAUUUAAACCUAAAAUCUUUUGCUGACAUAGAUAACUUGAUUUGGAUUUAAAAAAAGCCACCACAACUAUCAUGGUAACGUUUCAAUAGAGGUUAAUACAUUGCAAUUAUACCCAAGGCAAAAAAAAAGCUACUUUAUUGGCAUAAUUCAUUCUGCUGUGCAUGGAUAAAUGUCAAGGCCAAUAUGACAGUGUAUAGAUGUGCUGUUAUAUCCAGGCUAACCUGAACAAACUUGCACAGAAACAGAGAAGUGUUUACACAAGCACUAACAGCAUCUGAAUGGGGCUGCAGUUUACUGUCAGUAUGCAGCACUAUGGACAGAAAGGGAUAGUAAAGACUCAUCUGUAUGGAUUUGGACUGUAUGCUGACUGACCAGAGGGCCAAAGAAUUCUCCUUGACCUGUUUUAUUUGGUAGCAUAGAUACUCCUUUAUAAGCUGUUCCAUGUUUUCAAACA